UCUCUCUCUCUCUCUCUCCCUGUGUCUGUGUGGAGGCAGCCUCCCAGCUGUCUCCACUUAAGUAUAUAUAUCUGAGGUGGAGCACCGGGCCCAGGUGCUCCACAUCUCAAUGAUUACACUUGGCCAAUCCCAGCACCUUAAAGAGAACAGAUGUGAUUAGUUCACCUAAUAGACGGACACACGGGGGUCGUCACAUCUGUUUUGACGUGCUUUAUUGCCAUCUGUACGGAUACCAACCUCCGAGAACACCCAGGUUUACAAAUGAUCCCUCUGCCCUUAAAGACAGCCGCUUCCCCCCUAUGACAAGGGAUGAGCUGCCUCGCCUCUUCUGCUCAGUGUCUCUUCUCACCAACUUUGAAGACGUCGGUGAUUACCUUGACUGGGAGGUUCUCCACCUGUUUGGUCAGAGGUGUUUCCAGCGCCCCCUGGCUCUCCAGCUCGGAGAUGAUGAGCGUCCGACGCUGCAUGGAAGGACAUGACAAAGCAAAGGAACAAACACUGUUUUCCUCUGCUGCUGCUCUUAAUUCAUUUUAAAGAAAUUCUGUGCAUCAUCUCCUAAGUGUAUAUGGUUAGCAGUACCGAUGUCUCAGCUCACCCUGAUUUUGGCAGCUGGUCUCUCCCCGGCCUCAAUCUGCUGUUUGAGGUGGUUGAUCUCCUGAGCCAAGGCAUUUCUGUCUUCCGGCAGGUCAUUGGGGUGGUGCUGGGCCUCCUCCUUGCUGACAAUCACCUCCACUUCAUUCAGAAGCCACAGCUGACAUCAAUCAAAAAUGACCUUCAAAAACUGUAUUAGUGUGUGUUUAACUAAUGAUUGGUUACCUGUAUCUCUUGCAUGAGCUUGCUGACUUUCUGAACAGAGGUCUCUUUGAGCUUCAGUAGCUUGGAUUGCUCAAGAAGCUUCUUCAUGUCUAUGAGUUGACCCUCAAGCUCCUGCAGCCUCUUCCUCUGCUGCUCACUGAGCCUUGAUAAAUGUAGCGUAUGUCAGAUGAAGAAGGAAAGUGCAGCAAGUGGGAUUAUGAGAUCACUUCAAAGAUUUCCCAUCAAAACAAGUAACUUUUUUUAACAUGAAUAUUAUGACAGGCACAAACAAACAGAAUAAAAAGUGAUCAUACUUGG